AUGGGCUCGCUUUGGCUGUUACUGGCCCAGAUGAUGUUUGUUGGCUGGUAUCACUCCCUGUGCUGCUGCUGCCUCGUGCUCUCCAAGAGGAACAAGCUGCGCAUGAUGGCUUUGGAGGGCCGCCCGCUUGUGCGAGCGGCCGGAGCGUGGGGAGGGAGCUGUGCGCGCGUGCACGCAAUCGUCCGUGAACACCGUGGAGAGCGCGGUCAGGGGUCCCCAUAUCAACUGCGGCCCAGCUGUACCACGCGAGCGACAUCCUUGGCUCCCGCAGACGCACGUGAGCCGGGGCGGCUGUGUGCUCCAGGUGGAGAAAAAAGGAGCCUUUCAUCUCCUCCCGCAGAGCUGGCUGGCAGCUGGCCCACGUGUGGCACUCGCUUUCCUCUUUGCCGUGGCUGGAGCUGGAACAGAGAGGUGGGGGAUGUGUUACCCAUCUCGCUCGCCCUGAAGGGAAGCCAGCCUGGGAGAAAGCGGCAGAAACUCUGCCUCUGCAGCCCUGCGGGAAAGCCUAAGGCACAGAGAGGGAAGCUGGCUUCCCAGCCGCGCCACGCGGACGUCACAUCCCCUUUCUGA
rnacentral:lncRNA from 1 species